rnacentral:rRNA from 1 species
ACCCCUGUGAGGGGAGUGAAAUAGAACCUGAAACCGUGUACGUACAAGCAGUAGGAGCAGGCUUUGUCCUGUGACUGCGUACCUUUUGUAUAAUGGGUCAGCGACUUAUAUUCAGUGGCAAGGUUAACCAUCUAGGGGAGCCGUAGGGAAACCGAGUCUUAACUGGGCGUUCAGUCUCUGGAUAUAGACCCGAAACCAGGUGAUCUAGCCAUGGGCAGGUUGAAGGUUGAGUAACAUCAACUGGAGGACCGAACCGACUAAUGUUGAAAAAUUAGCGGAUGACUUGUGGCUAGGGGUGAAAGGCCAAUCAAACCUGGAGAUAGCUGGUUCUCCCCGAAAGCUAUUUAGGUAGCGCCUCGGACGAAUACUACUGGGGGUAGAGCACUGUUAAGGCUAGGGGGUCAUCCCGACUUACCAACCCUUUGCAAACUCCGAAUACCAGUAAGUACUAUCCGGGAGACACACGGCGGGUGCUAACGUCCGUCGUGGAGAGGGAAACAACCCAGACCGCCAGCUAAGGUCCCAAAUUACUACUAAGUGGGAAACGAUGUGGGAAGGCUCAGACAGCCAGGAUGUUGGCUUAGAAGCAGCCAUCAUUUAAAGAAAGCGUAAUAGCUCACUGGUCGAGUCGGCCUGCGCGGAAGAUGUAACGGGGCUAAGUAGUAAACCGAAGCUGCGGCAAUGUGCUUUUGCACAUUGGGUAGGGGAGCGUUCUGUAAGCGGUUGAAGGUGUGUGGUAACGCAUGCUGGACGUAUCAGAAGUGCGAAUGCUGACAUGAGUAACGAUAAAGGGGGUGAAAAACCUCCUCGCCGGAAGACCAAGGGUUCCUGUCCAACGUUAAUCGGGGCAGGGUAAGUCGACCCCUAAGGCGAGGCCGAAAGGCGUAGUCGAUGGGAAACGGGUUAAUAUUCCCGUACUUCUUACAAUUGCGAUGGGGGGACGGAGAAGGCUAGGUGGGCCUGGCGACGGUUGUCCAGGUUCAAGUGCGUAGGCUUAAGAGUUAGGUAAAUCCGGCUCUUUUUAAGGCUGAGACACGACGUCGAGCAUCUACGGAUGUGAAGUCAUUGAUGCCAUGCUUCCAGGAAAAGCCUCUAAGCUUCAGAUUGUAAGGAAUCGUACCCCAAACCGACACAGGUGGUCGGGUAGAGAAUACCAAGGCGCUUGAGAGAACUCGGGUGAAGGAACUAGGCAAAAUGGUACCGUAACUUCGGGAGAAGGUACGCUCUCGACGGUGAAGUCCCUCGCGGAUGGAGCUAUUGAGAGUCGCAGAUACCAGGUGGCUGCAACUGUUUAUUAAAAACACAGCACUGUGCAAAAUCGUAAGAUGACGUAUACGGUGUGACGCCUGCCCGGUGCCGGAAGGUUAAUUGAUGGGGUUAGACUUCGGUCGAAGCUCUUGAUCGAAGCCCCGGUAAACGGCGGCCGUAACUAUAACGGUCCUAAGGUAGCGAAAUUCCUUGUCGGGUAAGUUCCGACCUGCACGAAUGGCGUAAUGAUGGCCACGCUGUCUCCACCCGAGACUCAGUGAAAUUGAAAUCGCUGUGAAGAUGCAGUGUACCCGCGGCUAGACGGAAAGACCCCGUGAACCUUUACUACAGCUUGGCACUGAACAUUGACCCUACAUGUGUAGGAUAGGUGGGAGGCUUUGAAGCACGUACGCCAGUAUGUGUGGAGCCGUCCUUGAAAUACCACCCUUGUAGUGUUGAUGUUCUAACGUCGACCCCUUAUCGGGGUUGCGGACAGUGCCUGGUGGGUAGUUUGACUGGGGCGGUCUCCUCCCAAAGAGUAACGGAGGUAGCUACGAAGGUGGGCUAAUCACGGUUGGACAUCGUGAGGUUAGUGCAAUGGCAUAAGCCCGCUUGACUGCGAGAAUGACAAUUCGAGCAGGUGCGAAAGCAGGUCAUAGUGAUCCGGUGGUUCUGAAUGGAAGGGCCAUCGCUCAACGGAUAAAAGGUACUCCGGGGAUAACAGGCUGAUACCGCCAAGAGUUCAUAUCGACGGCGGUGUUUGGCACCUCGAUGUCGGCUCAUCACAUCCUGGGGCUGAAGUCGGUCCCAAGGGUAUGGCUGUUCGCCAUUUAAAGUGGUACGCGAGCUGGGUUUAGAACGUCGUGAGACAGUUCGGUCCCUAUCUGCCGUGGGCGUUGGAAGAUUGAAGGGGGCUGCUCCUAGUACGAGAGGACCGGAGUGGACGAACCUCUGGUGUUCGGGUUGUGUCGCCAGACGCAUUGCCCGGUAGCUAAGUUCGGAAUCGAUAACCGCUGAAAGCAUCUAAGCGGGAAGCGAGCCCUGAGAUGAGUCUUCCCUGAUACUUUAAGUAUCCUAAAGGGUUGUCGGAGACUACGACGUUGAUAGGUCAGGUGUGUAAGUGCUGUGAGGCAUUGAGCUAACUGAUACUAAUUGCCCGUGAGGCUUAACCAUACAACACCCAAGGGGUUU